CAGGCGUUCAGUGGCAACGGAACAGCAGUGCCCGUGUUGUCUCUUGGCGUGAUGUGGCCCUAGCCGCCCCUGCCUCUUCUGCAGACAGGGGUCCCAAGAUUGCUGGGCAGUGCCUCAGACUGCCUCGGACAGAGCUGGGGGCUGCAGAGGCCAGGCCCCAAGUGGAGGGAAGCCGGGGGAGAAGACUGAACUCAUCACCCAGGUGACCGUGGAGCAGCCGCCCUUAGCCUAGGGCCCUCCAAGUUGGCUCCCUCCCAGAUGCCACUAACUCCACCAAAGAAUCUACGUCACCUUUCCCUGCCACCCUGGAGUCAAGAAAGAACCAAAGGUCCCUAAGCCCCUCUCUGGGGAGAGUCAGGUCUGACGAUAGGGCGAGAGAAGAGGUUGUGAUUUGUUUCUCCCUUCUCAAGAAAUGGGGAAAUCUGUGUCUUCCCCAACACACCAAAUAACCUCAAACUAAACCAUGCUCAGGUGGGAGUUCUCUCCAACCCAUUAGUCCUCCCUCGUAACCCCAUCGAAUAUAUCCUCUUGAUGCAAAUAUGAACUACCCAAAGAUAUAUAGCUUUAAAGCCCCCCGCCCCCACCAAGAGGGGACUCAGGGCAAGGGACUCCGUCAGCAACUGCAUCUUCCAACCCGAACCCCCAGUCUGAAAUCUGUUUGUCUCCUCAUGCCUGAGCUGGAGUCUUGACCAGGGACAGGCAACCUGCAUUCCUGGUGGUCUAAAUAGGCAGGUGGGCAAAGGGGCUGCCAAGUUCCUUGCCCCCUUGUCCCAACAUCAGAAGAGUUCUGAACAUAUAAGCUCACACACGCUGCUUCUCUGAGCAACCGAAUGCCCAUCUCCCCCUUUCCAGAUCCAAAGCAUUGACCUCUUUUCGGGAGGCAUGCCUCCUCAAUUUUUCUAUUUUUGAAAGGAGAUACUAGUUUGCGUUGAGGUUUUGGUGGCCUUGAAUCCCUCGUAGAAUGAGCACAGACGCUGUGGAGCACCCCACACAUCUAUUCCCCUCAAUUCUAGGU